GUUGCUUCCUCGAGGCCCUGGUGUGUUAAGUUUUCUAUGCUUCGGAGUACGGGCAUGUCUUACAUAUGGCUGUCUUCUGGAUAUGUUACACCAUCUAUUGUGAGCAAGCUGCAAGUGGUGACUCGGACGUGAUCAAGUGGUGACUCGGACGUGAUCAAGUGGUGACUCCAACGUGAUUGCCUUGAAGUUAUGCAUGGAGUAGGAUGGCUCACCAAUCUUCAGGGACUACCGGCAUCUGCAAAUGGCUCUGUGCUGCCACUCAACCAACUACGACCAGGGAAGAAUGAUAGAAGAUUACUUUGCAUUGGAUAAUCAGCACAUUCUAAGAAUUAAAGAAGGGGGAAAUGUGGCGGGUGUCUGACAAUACAUUCAAGCUUAUGUACAAGGCAUUUGAGGUUGAGGCAUAGAAAAAUACUGAGGCACUGUGUGUAUGUUGUUUGUGCAUGAGACUGUAAUUCCUUGACCCUGAAAACAGGACAAGGAAUAGAAUUUGUAAUAAGGAGUGCUGAACACAGCCUCCUAAGAAUGUGGUUUGAGUGCUUUUAGAUGUUAUAAACAAGGCCAUAUGUGCCUCAUGACCCGACCCCAAAUAGCCACCUGGUAGAUGUUUCUUGUUUGUCUAAAUUGUAGUUCAACUAGCCUUCCCAAUAAAUACUUGGCAGAUGAAUCUUAAAGCAGCACUCUCUUGGAGGAGCUGCUCCGCUCCCUGUUCAGCUGUAAUUGUCUGAAUACUUAUUUCUUGGCGUUCACUGCAGAGCAAGCUGCAGCACAGCUGCCGGCAUUUAUUCAUGCAAGCUUCCAGCUUGCUUAUCUAUGUCUGCAGCUCAAUUUUACAGGCUGUUCUUUGUUUAAAAAACAAAACAAAAAAAAAAAACAUAAUUUGUGGACUUUUUAUUAAAAAGAAAACUUUAC